UUUUUUAAGAUGCCAGUCCAAGAUCUCAAGCUAAAUUCCAUUAUUUUCAUCCCCCACUCCCAAAUUUGCCCAUCAUUUAACCAAGUUUCAAUGAUUACUUCCGUUUCCUAAUAGUGUAAUAAUGAAAUUGAAGUUGGACGGGUUGCAUCACCUCUUCCGAAUUCCACUUCUGCAACCACAAAAGGUUCUCUAAGGUCUCCGUUUACCCAUUCACUUACCCUAGAUCCUUUAAGUUUGGUCGUCAUAAGAAAUCAAAUCAAAGAUAGGGCAAUCGCAAUUCUCCCCGGUGAAGAAGACGAACAACGAGUAAGUUUUCAUCCAUUUAUAUCCAGUUUCUUAGAUUGUUAUAAAGGAGAGUGAGGUGUGAGGGUUUCCCUUCAUGGCCAUUGUCGUCAUUGUCGUUGCUAACCCCACUGCCACCGUCUGGCCCGAUGGUUGGUGUUUGCGGACUGAUUGAAGACGAACGGAGGCGAGAUUAUUCAACACAUUCGGCAGACCACCGGUAUGAUUUUUCAAUUUUGAGUUGGGAAACAAAAGGGUUUAAAUUAUCGUAUCGAGCCCCAGUUUUGUUUGGUAACUACUAAUGCUCGGUGACGGUUUUUUGUGGUCUUGGGUUCUGAUCGAGUCAUCAUCUAGGAUUCUGAUUGACAACAUUCAAUUGCAUGCUGAAUUUUAGUUCUAACAAAUCGAAUAAUUGCUGCUUUAACCUUCAUCUGGGAUUUUGACAAGGUGCCCUUUUAGGGGUAAACGAUGAUGAUUUUCCAACAAUAUAUGCAGAUAUUUAAGGCCCAGGUAACGUUUUUUUGGAACAUUAUGUAUGUUAUUCUGACUGAAUAUAGUUGGUUUGCAGCUGGGGUGUUAUUCGCAUGAAGUUGCUUCUGUCUCGUGAUUUCCCACACUCACGACCUAAACUCCUAAAGGUCCGGUCCCUGUUUCUAGGCGAUGGGUUGACUCAGAGCACGCAAUGGCUGAAGUAGACAACGUAGAAGAUGAUGACGACUUGUGGAAAAAGUUAUGGUGGUUGCCAAACAUGUUGAGCAGGAAAAAGUGUCUCCAAGGGCUAUUUUGCAAAGACCAAUGGCAGGCUCUCAAGUUCCGUAUUGUCCGAUAGAGAAGAAAAUGUCAGAUUUUUGGUCACCGCUUGAUCCAAGUACCUUUAAAGUGCGGGGACAUUAUAUAUACUUCUAAUUUGCAACACUAAAAGGCAUACCAGGGUUAUACUUUGUGCAUUACUGACGUUCAAAGCAUUUGCUAUUUGUACUUUGGGUUUUUAGGUUUGUAAACUGUUUUGGGCUGCAAAGCUAAAUCAGCUUUUCUCCAUUUACCCCUCCUCACCAGCAACGACAGAGAGAAGAGAGAACGGAGGAAGGUCCGCCGCCAAUGGUUGUGAUUCACGACGGGGAUGUGACGCUCAUAACAGCGGUGAAUUUCAGAAAAAAAAAGGAGAAAUUAGACGGAGCACUGGUUAGUUUCUAUGUCAUUAUCAACACCUUCUAAUUUCUCAAAAGACACACACAGAGAGACACAAGAAAGAGAAAUGGGAGGCAAUACGAGAGCAGUAAGAGAGAGAAACAGAGACGCGGGACAACGAGUACCCGGCGACCGGCCCUGAUGCGUGCUCACCUCCCAUCCACAGAACCAAACUCGUCAAGUCUAGGGUUUCCCAGUAGGAUUUCGAUGUGCUUUGCUGUGUUUGAUUUUUUUUGUCAACCCUAAGGGAUUUGUAGUGCUUUCUUCUUUUGCGAUUUAGUGUUUUUAUUAGUUUAUUUGCUAACAGUUUUGAUAUUUAUUCAGCUUAGAGCGGUUUGGUUUUCUUUGACGUUAGGUUGUCUUUCUUCUUCGCCUGAUCUGUGAUUGGUAUGUUUGGAAAUUGUUGUAUCUAUUUUAUUUACGGUUACCACUGUAUUCAGUUUGAUUUACUUGAUUAUACCUAUUGUUAUUUACUUUUGUGUAUACCUUAAUUUUGGGGUUUAAGGUUUUGUUUUCAUCGCGUUUAACCACCGCAAUUAAGGUCCAUGUGCUUAGUAAGAUUCAUGAUAUUUAAUGAAUUAAUUAACUUUAUUCUUUUCGCAUGCAUCGAACAUCAUUGGUUGAUGGAUGAGGGGUUUUCCUUGGAUUAUUAAUGUGUUGAUGAUGAGUCUUUUUUGUUUGGGCUUUUUUUGCUCAAUUUGGUGACUUAAUGCAAUCUCUGGAAAAAAAAAGGUACAAUUUUUCUAAAUAUUUAUGUUAUUUAUAAAGUAUGAAGUGUGAGAAGUGGUUUUGUAUGGGAAUCGUGUUAUUUGUUUGGAACAGGCCUUUUUUAGUUCUUUGUCUUCAAUACGAAAUGGAUAUGGUGGCAUUCUGUUGAUUCAAAGGUCAACUGCUUUUGGUUUUUGUUAUAAUCUGUUGUCAAAAAAGUUGCUUGCCUAAUCUUUGUUUAGGUUACUGGUAUAGCACUUUUUUUCUUUUGUUAUAAUCUAUCUGAUGUGGGAAAUUUUAAGAAGAAUAGGUGAUAUUAAAUUUAAAUAGUGUAGGUAACUAAUACUAUUCAUUUUAGGCAAAUGCAAAUGUUUGUUUCUGGCCUAAUGAACUUAUUCAUGAAGCUGGUAUAUGAAUAUCGCCUUUCUUGAAGCCUCAGCAUCCAAAAAGGUAUGAUUCCUUAGCAGGAUUUCGGGGUGUGUUGAACCAGCCUUGCCUUGGCAUUAUUCCUAUAAGAUAAGUGUUUCUUCACCUUUUGGGCUCAAAAUUCAUUCCAUUUGAUAUGCUUAACCUCAAAAGUCAAUCUACCUAUCACCAAUUUUCAACCAAUUUAUUGAGGAAUUUGACCAUCCAAUGUCCAUAUCUUGUGCUGCUGGAAACACUAGACUUUUUGUUAACAAGAAGUUAACCAAAAAAAGUUAACUUCUUGCUGGCAAAGGUCUACCUAUAACAAAAGAUAGAUCUUAUGUCACUGACAUUUCUUGGGAAGUUGUGGAUGAAGACACAUGAGAAGAGCUAGAUGAAGGCCUUGCCAGUAAAUUUCGCUAAAUAUUGUAUAUUUAUUUCAAUUUCAUAUCGUGUGUGCGCUCGGAUGUGUUUUAUGCCAAAAGACAAUGCGUGAUGUGCGCGCAUCAUGUAUGUGAAGCAUUCAUUAUUAAAAAAUACUAGAAAAUAUUUAUGGCUGAUCAUCAUCCGGUUUCUAAUUUGUAACCCGCCAAGGCAUCAGAUGUAUG